rnacentral:rRNA from 1 species
GAAGUGCGAAUGCUGACAUAAGUAACGAUAAAGCGGGUGAAAAGCCCGCUCGCCGGAAGACCAAGGGUUCCUGUCCAACGUUAAUCGGGGCAGGGUGAGUCGACCCCUAAGGCGAGGCCGAAAGGCGUAGUCGAUGGGAAACAGGUUAAUAUUCCUGUACUUGGUGUUACUGCGAAGGGGGGACGGAGAAGGCUAUGUUGGCCGGGCGACGGUUGUCCCGGUUUAAGCGUGUAGGCUGGUUUUCCAGGCAAAUCCGGAAAAUCAAGGCUGAGGCGUGAUGACGAGGCACUACGGUGCUGAAGCAACAAAUGCCCUGCUUCCAGGAAAAGCCUCUAAGCAUCAGGUAACAUCAAAUCGUACCCCAAACCGACACAGGUGGUCAGGUAGAGAAUACCAAGGCGCUUGAGAGAACUCGGGUGAAGGAACUAGGCAAAAUGGUGCCGUAACUUCGGGAGAAGGCACGCUGAUAUGUAGGUGAAGUCCCUUGCGGAUGGAGCUG